rnacentral:rRNA from 1 species
UACGUAGGUGGCAAGCGUUGUUCGGAAUUAUUGGGCGUAAAGGGCGCGUAGGCGGCAUGUUAAGUCGGCUGUGAAAGCCUGGGGCUCAACCCCAGAGGGUCGGCCGAUACUGGCAAGCUAGAGUACGGAAGAGGUAGCUGGAAUUCCCGGUGUAGCGGUGAAAUGCGUAGAUAUCAGGAAGAACACCGGUGGCGAAAGCGCUCUGCUGGACCUUAACUGACACUGAGGGACGAAAGCUAGGGGAGCGAAUGGG